CCCCCAUAAAUCUACUGUUUCACCCCAGGGAACCGCUCCUUUACAUUGUGCCUGUUCAGUAAGUAGCUGGCGUUGCCUUUUGCCUCCCACAGACAUCGUUUCCACAUCUCAGUUUGACAAACGCGGGGCCAAACCACACAGCCCCUUCAUUCAGCUCACUCCAAGACAAACUUUGCACACCAUAGCAUGAGGAGAACCGCUGAACUCCUCAUCACUCUUAACACAAAUGUCAUAUAAAGACAGAAAUGAAAAAUGAAAACGUCUUUAAUUUUUUUCUUGAACAUUUCAUAGUUUUAUACUCGGCUGCAUAAAUGUGUUAUUUAGACUUCUGCCAUCUAUGUAUUUUUUCUUUGCAUUUUUAGUGAUGGCUAUGUCUUGUCUGCCCCAUAGUAUUUCAUGUAGAAUCAUCAUCACUUUGUACAAAUGUAUAAGGGGUGUUUUGGGGGGGGGGGGGGUCUUACUUUAGAAUAUACCCUGGUGGUCCCACUAUUAGACUAAGAAUAAGCACAGCUAUAAGCUGCUUACUUAAACAAGCUUUGAUAUGUUAAAAUGACACCUUUACCACACAGAAGGUUUAUGUACAUUCUUCAGCUUUUUGCUGUUACAGUCUCUAUAAUGAGCUUGCUGCUUUAUCCGUUUGCAUUUGCUGAUACUUGUAAGGUGCAUAACAGAAAGGUCCUUUGAUAAUUGACAGUUUUUGUUAAUCAGUCCAUUUGAAACCACCUUCCCUCCCUUGCCCAGUGAAAAUCUAGCAGGAUUAAAAGUGAUUCCAAAGUCCUAAUGAACCAGUUCCUUUCAGAACAACAACAGAUUAAAUCCAAGUCACAUGGAUUCAAUACAUCUGACAUUUUAGCAGGCUGGUGUCCCAGUGUGGAUGGGCAUGAAAAACCCCAAAAGGAUAGAAAAGGAAGACAUUUGGGUGUGUAUCUCCAAAUGAACAGGCGUCUACUGCUUGAUUAGACAGGAACUGCAUGGAUCAGUGUACUGCUUUGGUGAAGAACCUAUUAUUUUAAGACAUCGUCAUGGGCUAAACAUGAUGUGGGAAUACAAAGGUCUGUCUUUGAUUAUGUGAGAACACGUAAGGCUCUGACGAGAUCCAAACACAGCAUUUAUCAUGUCUGCCUUUACACAGUGCAUAUCACAAGAGUUUUGUCAUCUGAAGAAAAAGUAACAAUCCUAUCUGGCAGUAUUUGUGAAAGGGAAAGAGGUUACAUAUGUGUUCAGAAAUUCCUUUUCAGGGUAAAAUCAUAAAUCAUCAAACUGAAAGAUGUUAUUGGAUUGCUUUUUGGUUUUUGGUUGUAAAAUAUGUAAAAGGCCAAUGCAAGAAAUACUCAAAGGAAUCCUACAACGGAGAAUCUGAUUCGGAAUCUAAUAAAUGGCAGUAGAGAUGCUUGGAACCAGAUCCAUUUCAUUAUCUAGCCCCAAGGGUAGUCUAACACUAGCUUGAUAAAUUGAUGCAUAUUAGUGCGUUUGCCGUGUAGAAUUUGAAAACCUGCCAAUUCCAUAUGAAUUGUUGUAUUUUCUUAACAGACUGGUCUUCUGCAAGUGGAGAUAGCCUUGUAAAGAUUCCUAACCCCAGAUCUUUGCAAUCUUGUUGUGGCUGAAGCCCCCAAUUGUCAAAGUUGCACUUCUUCAAAUGUAUGCUCUAUGACUUGUUUGUUGGAUUGUGAGUUGUAAUAGUAGAGCUUUCCUCCAUUUGUCUGUCUGUUUAUGGUCUGUUUGCACAAGCCUUGCUAUGACAUGCAAUGAAAUCCUAUAUACUGACAUUAUACUUGAUUUCUGCUGUAACUGGUUUAUUAGCAAUUGGUACAAUUGACCAAGGCACAUCAGCCAUUUUUGUAGUUUUAUUUUUUACUUCUAGUGGUCAUCGUAUUGGUUGGGUAGUUAUAAAUAAAUGAAGAUUCUGUGGCUUGGUUAUGAGGGCACUGUGUAGAGACACAUUCUUCCUGUGGAAAAAAAAUCCAGAAUGCACUAAACUGCAUGACUAUGGUAAACAGAACAAUGCUUUUUUUCAAAAUGAAUGAACACAGGAUGCAGAGCAUAGUCAUUUUUAAUCUUGUUUUUGCAGCUGCCCGUGUCUGCCAGUGAUGGCGGUUUUCAGAAUCGACUCAAAUGGCCUGACCUCAGGAAGACAGAUUUUAUUCAUUAUAAACACACUGGCUUUGUUUUUGUUUUUCUUAGUCAGACAAGCUGUUUGUCUUUUGACGUGAAGCCGUGUUGUGCGUUUGCGUCAUUUUUUAGUGUUGUGCUCCACCACAGUGUCUCCAGCAGCUGUUCCAGGGUGUGCUCGGUAGGGACACUUGAGCAUUAGCAUCAUCUGCUAAUCAGGACAGAUGCUGGCUUUGAUUCCUUUUCAUAAUCUCUGCAAUGCCUGAGAGCUCAGGUAAUACAGGCACCUUGAGUGUGGCCACUGGCAAUGAAGGUUACUGGAGGCUGUUACUGCCACCAUCCAACCCGACGAAAGAGGAACCCUUUGAUGGUAGCUAACACGUUAUUCUGCUUCCUUGGAAAAAGAGAGACUGUUUACAUUUGCAGAAGGCCAUGCGGUCAUGCCUCGGUGGGGGUGUGGGUUUUAAAGGUUUGUAGGUCACCAGCACUGGCAGCAUUAAAAUGUUAACAAACACUGUUGUUGAAACCCACUGAUCUUAGUGGCUAGAUCUGUCGUACUGUAGUUCAGUGCAUUGUAGCAAUGGCCAGUCCUCUAUGCAAAACCUUCAAAUGUAUGAUGAUGUUUUUUUCCCCCAAAAUGACAACAGAGCAAUGGUUACUGUUGUGGAUUUUUAAACAUAAAAGCAUGGAGGGAUUUUUGAUAAAUAAGGCCCCAAAGAAUUUCCCUCAUCUGUCCAAAGGUAUUGCACAUUCUAGGAGCUGACUGCUUAAAGCAGGAUAAUCACUGUGUGCAUGACUGGAUGUAAUCUCUAUUUGUUGAGGUUAUAUGAGUCAGUUCUGUCUACUGCUGUUGCAACACUUGUUAAAUAAACCUAGUUAAGAAGGUCAUUUAGAAUACCAACAAAAGCGAUCAGUUUGGAAGUAAGUUUAGUUUGUAGCCAAACCGCAGUUAUUUAACAUUUGCCUUAAAACAUGUCAUUUCACGUUUGCAUUAAAAUGGGCAUAAACAAGCUUCUGUAGAACCAGGCAUGCCCAGUUACGUAUGCUUGCCACAUAGAAAGGAAUGAGGAAAAAUAAUUUGUGCCUGGACCUUUAUUAUCCCUGAAAACCAGGCUGUUUACAUCUAUUGCAUCUAACACCCAAAGUGUAAACUUUUGGUGUUUUACGUGUGUGCUAAAAUGAUGUACCUGACAUGAUACAUUUGAGUUGAAGAAAAUAUGCUGCAGUGCAUCUGUGCAGGGGUCACAAAAGGGGAAAAAUGGGGCUUGGGUAUGUUCAGUGCACACUGUAAAAGCAAUGAAUGGUGAAAGCAAUUAUGACGUGAUUUGGUCCCUGAGAUCCAGCUGUACCAGAGCACAGCGUCUGUUUUUCAUUGGCCCAGGUUCCCCCCUCUAAUCAAUUAAGCUUUCAUUACGCAAGGUAUUUUUAAUCAAACAGUAUUAGAUCUUGAAUUAGCAAGGGACCUUUGCAGGCAUACAAAUGGUAGAGUACAUACAAGCAAAAGAUUAAUUCAAGGUAAUAGCCUUUAUCCCGUAAUAUGCUUUAAAUUAUCGGCCAAAGGUUACAUCACCAAUAUCAAUGGAUGGAUGCCCCAAUGGAUUCUGAAGUAUUUAAUUGCAGCCUACCUGUUUUUGCACAGCCAACCAGGAAUGUCAUGGGCCAGUCAUGCAAUAUAAUGAUUUAGAAAAGCUUAAAGGUUUUACCACCACGAAUGCGGUUUUCUCGUGUCUUACUGUCUGCAAAAUGAGGUAACGCCUUGUCAAAGCUUGGUUUCUCUGGGCCCAGACGCAUAAUACUGUGAUGACUCACCACCUGAGCUCGUCCCUUAGACUGGCUUUCUGUCGUACAGGUGAGUCUAACCUGGUAUUGCGUACUAGCGCAUGUGUGUGUGAAGCCAAUGGAAACAAACAAAAAAAUAAAGAAACCCUCAGGCACUUGUGUGGUGUGGCAGUCCCGAACCCAUAGAGGGGUAGGCAACACCCAGUUUCCUUCCUCGGGCAGUUUCCUAUGGCAUGUAACAUACGGUCUUUAGGCCUUGGAGCGAGGCUGGUGUAUCUUGAAGACCUUUCAGAAGCAAAAAUAAAAAAGCAAUAUAUAUGUGUAUAUCCAAAACAAAGCAGCCUGACAGUGGCUUGUGGAAAUGGGUUUGGUAUAAGGAUUUUCCACAGUGGCACCCCUAUGCAUUCAAAAUGCCCUACUAUUUGACUUCUCCACACCGACAUUUCCCAGGUCACAAGUUGACUUUGAACCCUGGGAAAGGGACUGCCCCAGCUGCAUCACUGGACAAAAAUGACAAUCUGUCCAGGCCUGAUAAAUGUAAAAAAGUGAAGUAAAAAAACAAAAAGAAAACAAUCAACAAA